CAUGGCUUUUUGAUUAUAAUUUAAAGUCUGACCUGCCCAAUGAUUAUUUAAAUGGCUGCAGUAUUUUGACUGUGCAAAGGUAGCAUAAUAAUUAGUUUCUUAAUUGGAAGCUUGUAUGAAUGGUUUGAUAAGAGGGUGACUGUCUCUAUGUAAAUUAAUUAGAAUUUUAUUUUUAAGUAAAAAAGCUUAAAUAUUGAUAAAAGACAAGAAGACCCUAUAGAGUUUUAUAUAUAAAUAUAUUGGAGAAAUUUUAGGAUUUUAUUUCAAUUUAUAGCUUAUAUAUUUGGUUGGGGUAAUUAGAAAAUAUAUUUAAUUUUUCUUUAAUAAAAACAUUAAUAAUUGAAUAAUUGAUCCUAUUAUUUAGAUUAAUAGAUAAAAUUACCUUAGGGAUAACAGCGUAAUAUUUUUUUAGAGUUCAAAUUAAUAAAAAUGUUUGCGACCUCGAUGUUGGAUUAAAAUAAAUUUAUGGUGUAGGUGCUAUAAAAAUUAGGUCUGUUCGACCUUUAAAAUUUUACAUGAUCUGAGUUUAAACCGGCGUGAGCCAGGU
rnacentral:rRNA from 1 species